rnacentral:rRNA from 1 species
ACGCACGCUGGCGGCGUGCUUAACACAUGCAAGUCGAACGGAAAGGCCCUGCUUGCAGGGUACUCGAGUGGCGAACGGGUGAGUAACACGUGGGUGAUCUGCCCUGCACUUCGGGAUAAGCCUGGGAAACUGGGUCUAAUACCGGAUAGGAGCCAUUUUUAGUGUGAUGGUUGGAAAGUUUUUUCGGUGUAGGAUGAGCUCGCGGCCUAUCAGCUUGUUGGUGGGGUAAUGGCCUACCAAGGCGGCGACGGGUAGCCGGCCUGAGAGGGUGGACGGCCACAUUGGGACUGAGAUACGGCCCAGACUCCUACGGGAGGCAGCAGUGGGGAAUAUUGCACAAUGGGCGCAAGCCUGAUGCAGCGACGCCGCGUGGGGGAUGACGGCCUUCGGGUUGUAAACUCCUUUCGCUAGGGACGAAGCUUUUUGUGACGGUACCUAGAGAAGAAGCACCGGCUAACUACGUG